rnacentral:rRNA from 1 species
GAUGAACGCUGGCGGCGUGCUUAACACAUGCAAGUCGAACGAAGCACUUUACCGGAUUUCUUCGGGAUGAAAGUUUUGUGACUGAGUGGCGGACGGGUGAGUAACGCGUGGGUAACCUGCCUCAUACAGGGGGAUAACAGUUAGAAAUGACUGCUAAUACCGCAUAAGACCACAGGAUUGCAUGAUCCGGUGGUAAAAACUCCGGUGGUAUGAGAUGGACCCGCGUCUGAUUAGGUAGUUGGUGGGGUAACGGCUCACCAAGCCGACGAUCAGUAGCCGACCUGAGAGGGUGACCGGCCACAUUGGGACUGAGACACGGCCCAAACUCCUACGGGAGGCAGCAGUGGGGAAUAUUGCACAAUGGGGGAAACCCUGAUGCAGCGACGCCGCGUGAGCGAUGAAGUAUUUCGGUAUGUAAAGCUCUAUCAGCAGGGAAGAAUUAGGACGGUACCUGACUAAGAAGCACCGGCUAAAUACGUGCCAGCAGCCGCGGUAAUACGUAUGGUGCAAGCGUUAUCCGGAUUUACUGGGUGUAAAGGGAGCGUAGACGGAGAGGCAAGUCUGAUGUGAAAACCCAGGGCUCAACCCCGGGACUGCAUUGGAAACUGUUUUUCUAGAGUGUCGGAGAGGUAAGUGGAAUUCCUAGUGUAGCGGUGAAAUGCGUAGAUAUUAGGAGGAACACCAGUGGCGAAGGCGGCUUACUGGACGAUGACUGACGUUGAGGCUCGAAAGCGUGGGGAGCAAACAAAAUUAGAUACCCUGGUAGUCCCCGCCGUAAACGAUGACUGCUAGGUGUCGGGAGGCAAAGCCUCUCGGUGCCGCAGCAAACGCAAUAAGCAGUCCACCUGGGGAGUACGUUCGCAAGAAUGAAACUCAAAGGAAUUGACGGGGACCCGCACAAGCGGUGGAGCAUGUGGUUUAAUUCGAAGCAACGCGAAGAACCUUACCUGCCCCCGACAUCCGGCUGACUGGCGAGUAAUGUCGCCUUUCCUUCGGGACAGCCGAGACAGGUGGUGCAUGGUUGUCGUCAGCUCGUGUCGUGAGAUGUUGGGUUAAGUCCCGCAACGAGCGCAACCCUUAUCUUUAGUAGCCAGCAUUUCGGAUGGGCACUCUAGAGAGACUGCCAGGGAUAACCUGGAGGAAGGUGGGGAUGACGUCAAAUCAUCAUGCCCCUUAUGGGCAGGGCUACACACGUGCUACAAUGGCGUAAACAAAGGGAGGCAAGCCUGCGAGGGUGAGCAAAUCCCAAAAAUAACGUCUCAGUUCGGAUUGUAGUCUGCAACUCGACUACAUGAAGCUGGAAUCGCUAGUAAUCGCGAAUCAGAAUGUCGCGGUGAAAAAGAUCCCGGGUCUUGCACA